rnacentral:rRNA from 1 species
CCAUCUGGAAGAAUCUGGAGACAGGUGCUGCAUGGCUGUCGUCAGCUCGUGUCGUGAGAUGUUGGGUUAAGUCCCGCAACGAGCGCAACCCUUGCCUUUAGUUGCCAGCAGUUCGGCUGGGCACUCUAAAGGGACUGCCGGUGUUAAACCGGAGGAAGGUGGGGGAGUGACGUCAAGUCCUCAUGGCCUUUAUGACCAGGGCGACACACGUGCUACAAUGGCCGGCACAGCGGGAAGCGGAGGGGCGACCCUGAGCGGAUCCCUUGAAAGCCGGUCCCAGUUCGGAUUGCAGUCUGCAACUCGACUGCAUGAAGUUGGAAUCGCUAGUAAUCGCGGAUCAGCCAAGCCGCGGUGAAUACGUUCCCGGGCCUU